UACGUAGGUGGCAAGCGUUGUUCGGAAUUAUUGGGCGUAAAGGGCGCGUAGGCGGCCGAUCAAGUCGGGGGUGAAAGCCUGUGGCUCAACCACAGAAUUGCCUUCGAUACUGUUUGGCUUGAGACCGGAAGAGGUUAGUGGAACUGCGAGUGUAGAGGUGAAAUUCGUAGAUAUUCGCAAGAACACCAGUGGCGAAGGCGGCUGACUGGUCCGGUUCUGACGCUGAGGCGCGAAAGCGUGGGGAGCAAACAGG
rnacentral:rRNA from 1 species